rnacentral:misc_RNA from 1 species
CAAACCCCCCCCCCCCAAAAUCCUAAUUUCCGCGAGUAGUUCAAUUCCUCUCACUUUAACACUCUUCAAAUCCAAAGAAGUCAUUUUCCUUGUUCACAAAUCCCUUGUCCACCAAUAAACCCACCGCAAAUUCCCAUUCCAAAUUCUUUCCCAGAUUAUUUUUCUUUUUCUCCAGUUUUUUGGUCAUCGAUGGCGACGAGAAACCGAACCAUUCAGUACAGAAAGCACAGGGAUGCAGUGAAGAGCGUGCGUGCUCCUUUGUCAUCGUCAGCGUCAGUUUUGGGUGGUCCGGUUAUUGAAAUGGUUAACACUUCGUUUCUUCGUUCCAAACGUGCCUCUUAUACUCCCCUCAGCACUGAAGAUCCCGGUCCUUCCGGUGGUGACGCCUUUACAAUUGGUUUACCACCGGCCUGGGUGGAUGAUACUGAAGAAAUAGCUGCAAACAUUCAAAUUGUCCGAACCAAAAUGGCUGAGUUAGUCAAGGUUCAUGCGAAAGCUUUAAUGCCUUCCUUUGGAGAUGGCAAAGAUGAUCAGCGAAGGAUUGAGGCCCUUACUCGAGAAAUAACUGAUUUAUUGAGGAAAUCUGAGAAGAGAUUACAGAAACUUCCUGCAAGUGAGUCUCCUGAGGAUUCAAAUAUUAGAAAAAAUGUACAGCGUUCUCUUGCAACAGACCUUCAAAACAUUUCAAUGGAUCUUCGGAGAAGACAGUCAACAUAUCUUAAACGUCUGCAGCAGCAAAAAGAGGUCUGCAUAUGCUCACACAUGUACAAAUAAGUGCAUCCUUGAUUAACAUAGUUGCAUAUAUGUUACUGGCAUGGAAAAUAUAAAGUCAAUUUGUUCUAUUGGAACAAGUACACUCACUUGGCCACCUUGGGUUUCUUGUUAUAUAAUCUGGAACUGGCUGCUCUGUUGCUAUGGUUUUAUGUUGUUGUCUGCUUUCAGUGGUUACUAUUUACAGUAGUAUUUUUCUGUUCUUAUUUCAUACAAUAUUUAUUCUUUUGGUGGUUUAG